CCUACGGGAGGCAGCAGUGGGGAAUAUUGCACAAUGGGGGAAACCCUGAUGCAGCGACGCCGCGUGAGUGAAGAAGUAUUUCGGUACGUAAAGCUCUAUCAGCAGGGAAGAAAAACCGGCCUUAGGGCCGCCAGACGGUACCUGACUAAGAAGACCCGGCUAACUACGUGCCAGCAGCCGCGGUAAUACGUAGGGGGCAAGCGUUAUCCGGAGUUACUGGGUGUAAAGGGGGCGUAGACGGCAGGGCAAGUCUGGAGGGAAAUGCUGGGGCCCAACCCCGGAAGUGCUUUGGAAACUGGGCAGCUGGAGUGCAGGAGAGGUAAGCGGAAUGCCUAGUGUAGCGGUGAAAUGCGUAGAUAUUAGGAGGAACACCAGUGGCGAAGGCGGCUUACUGGACUGUAACUGACGUUGAGGCUCGAAAGCGUGGGGAGCAAACAGGAUUAGAUACCCGAGUAGUC
rnacentral:rRNA from 1 species